rnacentral:rRNA from 1 species
UACAGAGGGUGCGAGCGUUGUCCGGAAUCACUGGGCGUAAAGGGCGCGUAGGCGGCUUGAUAAGCGUGCGGUGAAAGCCCGGGGCUCAACCCCGGGUCGGCCGUGCGAACUGUCGAGCUGGAGCACUGUAGAGGCAGGUGGAAUUCCGGGUGUAGCGGUGGAAUGCGUAGAGAUCCGGAAGAACACCGGUGGCGAAGGCGGCCUGCUGGGCAGUGGCUGACGCUGAGGCGCGACAGCGUGGGGAGCGAAUGGG